rnacentral:rRNA from 1 species
CACGUAGGGGGCAAGCGUUGUCCGGAUUCAUUGGGCGUAAAGAGCUCGUAGGCGGUUCGAUAAGUCGGGUGUGAAACCUCCAGGCUCAACCUGGAGACGCCACCCGAUACUGUCGUGACUAGAGUCCAGUAGGGGAGCGUGGAAUUCCUGGUGUAGCGGUGAAAUGCGCAGAUAUCAGGAAGAACACCCGUGGCGAAGGCGGCUCUCUGGGACGGUACUGACGCUGAGACGCGAAAGCGUGGGGAGCAAACAGG